rnacentral:rRNA from 1 species
GUGAGGAAUUUUCCGCAAUGGGCGAAAGCCUGACGGAGCAAUGCCGCGUGAAGGAUGAAGGCCUACGGGUUGUAAACUUCUUUUCUCAGAAAAGAAUUAUGACGGUAUCUGAGGAAUAAGCAUCGGCUAACUCUGUGCCAGCAGCCGCGGUAAGACAGAGGAUGCAAGCGUUAUCCGGAAUGAUUGGGCGUAAAGCGUCUGUAGGUUGUUUAAAAAGUAUUCUGUCAAAGAUUAGGGCUUAACCCUAGAUAGGCAGAAUAAACUUUUAAGCUAGAGUUUGGUAGAGGCAGAGGGAAUUCCCGGUGGAGCGGUGAAAUGCGUAGAUAUCGGGAGGAACACCAAAGGCGAAGGCACUCUGCUGGGCCAAUACUAACACUGAGAGACGAAAGCGAGGGGAGCAAAUGGGAUUAGAAACCCCAGUAGUCC